AACGUAGGUUCCGAGCGUUAUCCGGAUUUACUGGGCGUAAAGCGCGAUUCAGGCGGUUCGGGCAAGUCGGGCAUGAAAUCUCUCGGCUCAACCGGGAGAGGUUGUCCGAUACUGCUGGACUUGAGGGCAGUAGGAGGGUGGUGGAAUUCCGGGUGUAGUGGUGAAAUGCGUAGAUAUCCGGAGGAACACCAGUGGCGAAAGCGGCCACCUGGACUGUACCUGACGCUCAAACGCGAAAGCUAGGGGAGCGAACAGG
rnacentral:rRNA from 1 species